rnacentral:rRNA from 1 species
AUACGUAGGGUGCGAGCGUUGUCCGGAAUUACUGGGCGUAAAGAGCUCGUAGGUGGUUUGUCGCGUCGUCUGUGAAAUUCCGGGGCUUAACUCCGGGCGUGCAGGCGAUACGGGCAUAACUUGAGUACUGUAGGGGAGACUGGAAUUCCUGGUGUAGCGGUGAAUUGCGCAGAUAUCAGGAGGAACACCGGUGGCGAAGGCGGGUCUCUGGGCAGUAACUGACGCUGAGGAGCGAAAGCAUGGGUAGCGAACAGGAUUAGAUACCCUGGUAGUCCAUGCCGUAAACGGUGGGCGCUAGGUGUAGGGGUCUUCCACGACUUCUGUGCCGUAGCUAACGCAUUAAGCGCCCCGCCUGGGGAGUACGGCCGCAAGGCUAAAACUCAAAGGAAUUGACGGGG